rnacentral:rRNA from 1 species
AUACGGAGGAUCCGAGCGUUAUCCGGAUUUAUUGGGUUUAAAGGGAGCGUAGAUGGAUGUUUAAGUCAGUUGUGAAAGUUUGCGGCUCAACCGUAAAAUUGCAGUUGAUACUGGAUAUCUUGAGUGCAGUUGAGGCAGGCGGAAUUCGUGGUGUAGCGGUGAAAUGCUUAGAUAUCACGAAGAACUCCGAUUGCGAAGGCAGCCUGCUAAGCUGCAACUGACAUUGAGGCUCGAAAGUGUGGGUAUCAAACAGGAUUAGAUACCCUGGUAGUCCACACGGUAAACGAUGAAUACUCGCUGUUUGCGAUAUACAGCAAGCGGCCAAGCGAAAGCGUUAAGUAUUCCACCUGGGGAGUACGCCGGCAACGGUGAAACUCAAAUGAAUUGGCGGGG